rnacentral:lncRNA from 1 species
GCGCGAUGCCGACCGUUACGGAGGGCCGUUGGCGCGGGCGCCGCGCCGCGCUCUCCUCAGGGCUCGUCCCGGGUGUUCCCGCAGGCAGUUCCCCCCGCGAACUUUCCCGUUUGCCUGAGUCCGCUUGGGACGCUGGGUCCUGGGCUCGGUUUUCAGCGCCAGAGGAAAGAACUGCGUUUCAAGAAGUAACGUUAGAAGUGCGCUAGAAAUACUUAGUGAAAACCUCCCGAGCAGAAGAGCUGUAAGGUUGUCUUGCAGCCAUGUCGUGAAUACUCCCCAGGCUUCACUUUCCCGCUUCUCUCCCCGAGUCCCAGAGAGGGAGGGUGAGCAAACGGCUGCGUGGUGCUUAGCUGCCGGCUGGGUCAAACCACAACACCUGCCCACCAGCGCGAUCUCACCGCAGGUCCAAGGCUUUGAAGCUGGCAGCCCCAGCGCAGCGCCGGGCCCCGCCGGCGGCCACCAGCCCUUGGAGCGCGCCCCGGUGAGUAGCACCGAGGCCGGGGCCGCUGAGUGUCGCUGCGGGGCUACGGAAAGCCGGGCCGAGGUGCUCCGCUCCGCUCCGCCUCUGCCGCCGCGCUGGGGCCGUGCCGGGCAGGACUUGGCCCGCCGGAGGCAAGGGGUGGGAAACGCUGCAGGGCGUUUGCAUGGUCCGGCUGUUGGGGCCAGCUUCCGCGCUCGGUUAUUCCGGGAAAUUCGUAAGUUACGUCCUUGUAACCAGCUUUUGAUGUCACCUUCCUUCCAGAGGCGUUUUAAAUCGAAAGAUGGACUGCUUUUCAGUCUGGAUCACUGUGGUCAUUUUGCAUCAUCCCUGUGA